CCAGCAGUCUAGAGUAUUAGUCAAUGGCGGCAAGAGUGAACUAGCUAACUGAAAUCGUUAUUUAGAUGUCGUAAGGGAAAAUAAUGAUACUACCUUACUAUUAGUGUCGUCCAAAUCUGGUGCCAGAAGACUCGGUAAGGCCAGAGACGCAAACGUUAAUCAUCAUAAACAGGCGUAAAGGGUUUGUAGGCAGCUUCUAAUAUUUUUAUUUUAAUAUAGCUCGUGUGCCUCGGAACCGAAACAGGCAAAUACUAUUUUAAAAUAGUCAUUAAACACAUGAAAUAUAAAUAAAUGGAAGCUAGAAUCAAAUAGAGGUUAAAUCAUAUAAUGCUUAGAGUAGGGUUCCAAUCCGCAAAUACUAAGUAGAAUACUAAAGGCGAAGGCAUUUUUCCACUAAUGAUUGAUGCUGAGAAACGAAGGUGAGGAUAGGAAAUAGGAUUAGAGCCCAUGACCCCUCACUGUCNNCGAUGAAUGGCCGUUAUCGCUUAAUAACUGGUUUCGAUGUUAACACGAUAACCAUUCCGCCUUGUGAGUACGNUUGCAAAAUUGAAAACAAAAAAAUUAGUCGGUCUC
rnacentral:rRNA from 1 species